rnacentral:rRNA from 1 species
CCUACGGGAGGCAGCAGUGGGGAAUAUUGCACAAUGGGCGCAAGCCUGAUGCAGCGACGCCGCGUGAGGGAUGACGGCCUCCGGGGUGUAAACCUCUUUCGACCCCGACGAAGCGAGAGCGACGGUAGGGGUAGAAGAAGCACCGGCUGACUACGUGCCAGCAGCCGCGGUAAUACGUAGGGUGCGAGCAUUGUCCGGAAUUAUUGGGCAUAAAGAGCUCGUAGGCGGUUUGUCGCGUCUGCCGAGAAAACCGGGGGCUUAACCCUCGGCCUGCGGUGGAUACGGGCAGACUUGAGUUCGGUAGGGAAGACUGGAAUUCCUGGUGUAGCGGUGAAAUGCGCAGAUAUCAGGAGGAACACCGGUGGCGAAGGGGGGUCUCUGGGCCGAUACUGACGCUGAGGAGCGAAAGCGUGGGGAGCGAACAGGAUUAGAUACCCUGGUAGUCCACGCCGUAAACGUUGGGCGCUAGGUGUGGGUGACAUCCCACGUUGUCCGCGCCGCAGCUAACGCAAUAAGCGCCCCGCCUGGGGAGUACGGCCGCAAGGCUAAAACUUAAAGGAAUUGACGG